UUAGGGAGAGCCCUGGACUAUUGAUGUUUAAAAACGCAGAAGUACUUUUUUUUUCUUACUCAAUUAAUCGCCAGAAUAAUCGAUAGAAUACUCGAUUAGUAAAAUAAUCGAUAGCUGCAGUAGAAAGAGAUCAGGUGUUUUUAGAGAGAGGCAUGCAAACAACAUUUGCACUUCGACGGCAAGAGAUAAUCACUGGAGACCAACUAGUAAAGGAUCACCUGAUGCGAUGGCCAGCGCUGCAGAUGGAAUCACAGGUAAAAAAAAUAAAAUAAAAUCUUGUUCAGUUUGUUUAUCCACACCAUCUGUAACACCUCUUCAUUUUUUGCAGGUUCUUGCAGAGUUCCACCGCAUUACCAAUGUAAAUCUCCAGGCCACCUUCUAUGGCGAGCUGGAUCGCCAUUCACAAAGACUAAUAGGAUUGUUCAGACAAAAGGCUUCAAGAACGGGCAAGGUUGCUGAAACCCUGCUGAGACUUCUCAGAGACUCUGACGUGCAGGAAGUCUUCGCCAAUGUUGACAUCAGACGCAUAUUGUGCCUUCGGGGACUUAGUGCCUACCUAAUGGAAGAUGAUACAGACUUCUUCCAAUGCUGAAAUCAAGAUGGUGAACCUGAUGUGUCCAAUCUCCCUCUGGCUCUACUUGUCGAGUCUCCAGAAGUCUUCCAACCAGGCAAAGUCUCAAUUAUAGUGGAAGGAAACAUUGUGAUGCACGAGUGUUCUACUCUCCAAAAGGCGUAUAUGUUGUUAAUUGGUUUACUGUACAUAUUCAACAUUGAAUACCCAAAGCAACUCUUGAACACAUUCACAUUUGUGCAAAACAUUGUGAUUUGUCUGGAGAGCAACACUGUUCUCAAACCACAUCUGGCAUCUUUGAAAAAUGAUCUUUUUGAAGACCAGUGUUAAAUGUUGCAAAUCAGGUUGUUCACUAUGGUGCUGCAAGUUGCCAGUGUUCUUUUUCUUCUAUGAAUAUCUUUUAGCAAAUUUUAGCUAUAAAUUUUACAAUUGUUUUUUUUUUUCGUAAGAGUGUGUAAGCAUGCAAAAUGACAAGAGGCAAAGUUCCUGACUGAUUCAGGAGGGGAGGGACAAGCACUGACAGGGAAUAGUGCCUGAUAGAGCUGCUACAAAUGACUAUUUUGAUAGUCGACAAUUCAACAUUUCUGUGAAGGGUCUCAGUUGUCCAGGUGGUUUCCAUCAUAGAGAAGUUUGAAUGUUCAACUGGACUGGGUUGCUUGACGCAAGGGCAUUUCGCUUCUAAUCACAGAAGCUUCCUCAGCUAAACUUCUUGCUCUGGUAGUCUGACUUCUGUCUUGACUCUUGUAGAGAAGAAGGCAGAUGUAACUUUAAGCUGGAGUUUUAAACAUAACCAGACCCAGAUCACUAGCCUCUCAACAGGAGGGGUCUGGUUAUGUUUAAAACUCCAGCUUAAAGUUACGUCUGCCUUCUUCUCUACAAGAGUCAAGACAGAAGUCAGACUACCAGAGCAAGAAAUUUAGUUGAGGAAGCUUCUGUGAUUAGAAGCGAAACGUCCUCGCGUCAAGCAACCCAGUCCAGUUGAAGAUUCAAGCUUCUCUAUGACUAGUCAACGAUUACUUUUGCGACUAAUCAAUUAGUUGGACCAUAUGGCAGCUAUUGCACAAUUAUACAACUGCUGUUGUAUUUAUCGUUCAAUCAUUAGCUUCCAGCUUGAGUUGGUGUUAAGCUGUUACACAUGUAUUGCCAAUACAGCUUAUAAAAACACAAUUAAUAGCUAUGUUAAUUAUGACAGCGUUUAGAAUGUUCAACCCAGACAAAAGUUAAUACAUGUGUUCCCUUUUAAGCAUAUUCAUUACAUUAUUUUAAUAUGUGGACAGACUGAAAAGAGGCGGUUUGUUGUGUUGUUGGCCUGUCGGUGUGCGGGCAGACAGACCAGCUCGUGUUGUGCAUGUAUUUGUGUUUACUGACUGAUUUAGAUCAAAAAUAUUAAAACAUAUCAGGCAUUACUUUGGGAUGGAUGAAGUUUUACUUUAAAGUUUGAGCCAUGGCGUUUAAUUUAAGGCGAAUUUUCCGUUUUGUCUUAUGGGACUUGUGGCACUGACGUCUGGUUCAAUCAUAUUUACGGACACAUUAUGUAGCUGUAUGUUUGCCUAUUGACUUUUCUUUUGCUUCAGUAUUCAAACACGUGUGUCGUGUACAGCAGCUAUUUUGAGUGAAAAACAAUGACUGUUCAAUUGUUUGAAUAAUAGCCUAAAGGUUUGAAUUGUUUGAAUAUUGUUUUGAAUUAUUUGAAUAAUAAAUGUUUGAAUUGUUUGAAUAUUGUUUUGAAUUGUUUGAA